rnacentral:rRNA from 1 species
GCAGUAGCCACGGGAAUACGAAGGGGGCUAGCGUUGUUCGGAAUUACUGGGCGUAAAGCGCACGUAGGCGGAUAUUUAAGUCAGGGGUGAAAUCCCAGAGCUCAACUCUGGAACUGCCUUUGAUACUGGGUAUCUUGAGUAUGGAAGAGGUUAGUGGAAUUGCGAGUGUAGAGGUGAAAUUCGUAGAUAUUCGCAGGAACACCAGUGGCGAAGGCGGCUAACUGGUCCAUAACUGACGCUGAGGUGCGGAAGCGUGGGGAGCAAACAGGAUUAGAUACCCGCGUAGUCCCUGUCUCUUAUAC